rnacentral:rRNA from 1 species
UGACAGCCCCGUACACAAAAAUGCACAUGCUGUGAGCUCGAUGAGUAGGGCGGGACACGUGGUAUCCUGUCUGAAUAUGGGGGGACCAUCCUCCAAGGCUAAAUACUCCUGACUGACCGAUAGUGAACCAGUACCGUGAGGGAAAGGCGAAAAGAACCCCGGCGAGGGGAGUGAAAAAGAACCUGAAACCGUGUACGUACAAGCAGUGGGAGCACGCUUAGGCGUGUGACUGCGUACCUUUUGUAUAAUGGGUCAGCGACUUAUAUUCUGUAGCAAGGUUAACCGAAUAGGGGAGCCGAAGGGAAACCGAGUCUUAACUGGGCGUUAAGUUGCAGGGUAUAGACCCGAAACCCGGUGAUCUAGCCAUGGGCAGGUUGAAGGUUGGGUAACACUAACUGGAGGACCGAACCGACUAAUGUUGAAAAAUUAGCGGAUGACUUGUGGCUGGGGGUGAAAGGCCAAUCAAACCGGGAGAUAGCUGGUUCUCCCCGAAAGCUAUUUAGGUAGCGCCUCGUGAAUUCAUCUCCGGGGGUAGAGCACUGUUUCGGCAAGGGGGUCAUCCCGACUUACCAACCC